rnacentral:hammerhead_ribozyme from 1 species
AUUCAGUUGACGACUCCUAAAUAGGAUGAAACACUUGUCCUGGAU